UACGGGGGGGGCAAGCGUUGUUCGGAAUUACUGGGCGUAAAGGGCUUGUAGGCGGCCAACUAAGUCAGACGUGAAAUCCCUCGGCUUAACCGGGGAACUGCGUCUGAUACUGGAUGGCUAGAGUUUGGGAGAGGGAUGCGGAAUUCCAGGUGUAGCGGUGAAAUGCGUAGAUAUCUGGAGGAACACCGGUGGCGAAGGCGGCAUCCUGGACCAACACUGACGCUGAGGAGCGAAAGCCAGGGGAGCAAACGGG
rnacentral:rRNA from 1 species